ensembl:lncRNA
UCUCGUAACAUCACCAUCUCUGGCUGCUAUUGACCUUGUUUUUGGAGUAAAACACGAUUGAAGCUGAAUUAGUGAGGAUGACUCCUGCUCCUGUCAUCUCUAAGCUCCUCACACAUCUUUACCUGCACAUGAGGAAAAUCACUCCUGUAGAAUGCAGAUGUUCAGAGGGAGCUGAUGCCACAUCUGGUCCAGCUGAUGGAAGGUCUUGAAGUUCUCUGACUGGCCUCGACUGAAGAUGGUCGUGUCACUGGAUUUAAGGUUCAGAUGCUCAGUAACAAACUCCACCAAUGUGCUAACAGGGAAGCUUUAGGUUUAUUAAAUGUUGCUAUGAAGGUAUCACUGUUUUUCUUUGUGAAUGCAAUGUGCUACAACUGAAACUUGAAUUAGAACUUAGAAGUAAAUCCUUCCAUCUGAAAGGAUUUAGUUGCAUUAAUAACCUCAUAACAUUCUAAUUUUUAUUCCAGUCUUAGUUGGAAAUAGAAUCUCUGUAUUGAUUCAGGUAAAAACUGAACUUCACAGCAUGUUGAAGCAAAACAACCAGAUGAAAACUGUGAUGGUGUUGGAUUGUCAGACCGUAAUGUUGCAGCUCAAAGCAGCUUUUCUAUCUCAGUUCAUUCUGACAUUCGGCUAUGAAUCAACACAGCAGAUGGUGAUCUAUGCUGUGGAAGUCUCACAUCUCCUGAUUUAAUGGAGCUGCUUUGCACUUUUUACACUGUUUAUUCACCAACACUUUAUUUAAUAAAAGUCCCAUCUAGUUUUUAUGAGGAAUGUGAUGUUUUAAUUUCUCUGUGAAUAACUGCAGUCUAAUGCAACAGCUGGAGUUGUAACAUCUGUCCUGAUAUUGAUCAUGAAGUAUUGAUCAGAAUACUUAUGGUUAGCAGUCAUCCCUGAAGUUUUACAUUAAAAUCUUUACUUGUGUUGUGAACUUUGGUAAGAAGCAGAAAUGUUAGCGUUGCCAUGGAUACAUGAGUGUUAAAUUCUGUCCAUGUUUCCAUUUUGGGAAAUGCAGUCCAGUUCCAGAAUGUGGAGGAAUUUAGUCUCACAAUCACAGACAACAAAUAUUAUCUGAAAGUCGGGUUAUUGUUGUUUAUCAGCACAAUACAAAAAAGAUUAAUGUUAGAAAUAUUCCAGUUAAGACUCUAGAAUAUCAUGAUUUAUGUAAAUUUACCUCAAUAAUAUGAAUUGAAGAUUGUACAGUGAUAUUUAUUAUUUAAGUUUAGCUGAUUAAAGUUUAUGACUCUGCACUAAAAUAUUAUUUAAAUUGACAUCAUUAUUAUAAUAUUUAGGGUCAGACCCUACAGUAUUGAGAUUAAGAAAUCAAAUAUUCUAUAAAUGUAAAUACACUGAACUCAUUUGGAUCUAUUUAAGUGAGACUCUACAAUAUUAUUUGACACAAAUCUAUCUAAAUCAAAAUUUUAAUAAUUUCCACGCCAAACAUUUACUGGACUGAUUUAAAUAUUAAAAUCACUCCUUUCUAAUCCUCUGCUGUACGUUCAGACCUGAGGCCUUAAAUAGAAACGCACAAGUAUCUGAUUGAAGGAACUUCUGCAGAGUCCUGGUUCCAGAACAUGAUGAUAGAAUUAUAGACAAACUUUAACAAAAGCUGCCUGAGAGUUUACAGGUUUUUAUGUUGGAUUUCUUCAGUAAUUUAAUGAGCGUUAUCAGCAAUAAUCAAGUGUUCAUUUGAUGAACUUCAUUUCCUAAAACAUCCAGAAUUGGAGCUCAUAUCUUUGGCAGCUGUAAAGUUUCUGCUCCUUCAAAGUUCACAACACAAUGAAUGAAUUCCUAAAACACUCUCAAUGCUGGAGAGCGUUUGUGAUGCUGAAGCAGUGAUCAGUUUUUCUGUUUCUUCUCUGGAGAUGCACAAUGAGGGACGUCUGCAGCGACUGAGAAAGAGUCUCACCACAUCCUGACAUGAGGAAAAAGACUUUAUUGAAGACUACAAUGAGAAAAACUAUCAGACAGCAGACGGCAUGCAUUCAAGUCUGUAGCUGCUGAAUUCAUGGAUGAAUCAUCUGGCACUAGAGAAGAAGACCAUCAAACAUCCACGUCAGCUGAUGGAGGUCCAAGAGUCUCACCCAACAAACAACCUACAGAGUGAAGACCUCGAAUCUGAUUGGAUGGCCUCCUAUUCAGCCACAUGUGUGAACAAAUGCCUCUAAGCUGAUUUGUUUUCUAAAAUAAAUCUAGUUUGAGUCCUAAUCUAUGCCUGUGUUUGCUUCUUUACACCACUGUUAACAGUUUAGGCUGUUAGAUUGUUCCAGGUAAGACAAGUACAAGAUUCUUCAGAGCCGUUCUACCAGGAGCCUGACAGGAAGAACUCCAACAGCUACUGAAUGUUCCUGUGGUCCCUUCAAGGCUACAGGAGGAGCCCUACG